rnacentral:rRNA from 1 species
UACGGGGGGGGCAAGCGUUGUUCGGAAUUACUGGGCGUAAAGGGUGCGUAGGCGGUUCGCUAAGUCGGAUGUGAAAACUCUGGGCUCAACCCAGAGCCUGCAUCCAAAACUGGCGGGCUAGAGUUCUGGAGGGGGUAGCGGAAUUCCUGGUGUAGCGGUGAAAUGCGCAGAUAUCAGGAAGAACACCCGUGGCGAAGGCGGCUCUCUGGAACGCAACUGACGCUGAGACGCGAAAGCGUGGGGAGCAAACAGG